rnacentral:rRNA from 1 species
UACGGAGGGUGCAAGCGUUAUCCGGAUUCACUGGGGUUAAAGGGUGCGUAGGUGGGUCUGUAAGUCAGUGGUGAAAUCUCCGGGCUUAACCCGUAAACUGCCAUUGAUACUACAGGUCUUGAAUUUUCCGGAGGUAAGCGGAAUAUGUCAUGUAGCGGUGAAAUGCUUAGAUAUGACAUAGAACACCAAUUGCGAAGGCAGCUUACUACAGGAACAUUGACACUGAGGCACGAAAGCGUGGGGAUCAAACAGG